UCCGGCUUAACGCCGGCAGUCUCCCUAGAGUGCCCAACUGAAUGGUGGCAACUAAGGACGAGGGUUGCGCUCGUUUCUGAGAGCUUGCUCGUACAUGUCAAGCCUAGGUAAGGUUCUUCGCGUUGCGUCGAAUUAAACCACAUGCUCCACCGCUUGUGCGGGCCCCCGUCAAUUCCUUUGAGUUUCAACCUUGCGGUCGUACUCCCCAGGCGGGGUACUUCCUGCGUUAGCGCCGGCACCCAGAGGGUCGCUCCCCCAGGCACCUAGUACCCAUCGUUUACGGCGUGGACUAC
rnacentral:misc_RNA from 1 species